rnacentral:rRNA from 1 species
CACGUAGGGGGCAAGCGUUGUCCGGAUUUAUUGGGCGUAAAGAGCUCGUAGGUGGUUCGGUAAGUCGGGUGUGAAACCUCCAGGCUCAACCUGGAGACGCCACCUGAUACUGCUGUGACUGGAGUCCGGUAGGGGAGCGUGGAAUUCCUGGUGUAGCGGUGAAAUGCGCAGAUAUCAGGAGGAACACCAGCGGCGAAGGCGGCGCUCUGGGCCGGUACUGACACUGAGGAGCGAAAGCGUGGGGAGCGAUCCGG